AGAGUUUGAUCCUGGCUCAGGACGAACGCUGGCGGCGUGCCUAAUACAUGCAAGUAGAACGCUGAAGACUUUAGCUUGCUAAAGUUGGAAGAGUUGCGAACGGGUGAGUAACGCGUAGGUAACCUGCCUACUAGCGGGGGAUAACUAUUGGAAACGAUAGCUAAUACCGCAUAACAGCAUUUAACCCAUGUUAGAUGCUUGAAAGGAGCAAUUGCUUCACUAGUAGAUGGACCUGCGUUGUAUUAGCUAGUUGGUGAGGUAAAGGCUCACCAAGGCGACGAUACAUAGCCGACCUGAGAGGGUGAUCGGCCACACUGGGACUGAGACACGGCCCAGACUCCUACGGGAGGCAGCAGUAGGGAAUCUUCGGCAAUGGGGGCAACCCUGACCGAGCAACGCCGCGUGAGUGAAGAAGGUUUUCGGAUCGUAAAGCUCUGUUGUAAGAGAAGAACGUGUGUGAGAGUGGAAAGUUCACACAGUGACGGUAACUUACCAGAAAGGGACGGCUAACUACGUGCCAGCAGCGCGUAUACGUAGUCCGAGCGUGUCAGAUUUAUAGCGUAAGCGAGCGCANCGUUAAUAAGUCUGAAGUAAAGGCAGUGGCUUAACCAUUGUUCGCUUUGGAAACUGUUAGACUUGAGUGCAGAAGGGGAGAGUGGAAUUCCAUGUGUAGCGGUGAAAUGCGUAGAUAUAUGGAGGAACACCGGUGGCGAAAGCGGCUCUCUGGUCUGUAACUGACGCUGAAGCUCGAAAGCGUGGGUAUCGAACAGGAUUAGAUACCCUGGUAGUCCACGCGGUAAACGAUGGAUGCUCGCUGUUUGCGUCUGACGUAAGCGGCCAAGCGAAAGCGUUAAGCAUCCCACCUGGGGAGUACGCCGGCAACGGUGAAACUCAAAGGAAUUGACGGGGGCCCGCACAAGCGGAGGAACAUGUGGUUUAAUUCGAUGAUACGCGAGGAACCUUACCCGGGCUUGAACUGCAGGCGAACGAUUCAGAGAUGAUGAGGCCCUUCGGGGCGCCUGUGGAGGUGCUGCAUGGUUGUCGUCAGCUCGUGCCGUGAGGUGUCGGCUUAAGUGCCAUAACGAGCGCAACCCCUGUUCUCAGUUGCCAUCGGGUGAUGCCGGGCACUCUGUGAAGACUGCCUCCGCAAGGAGCGAGGAAGGUGGGGAUGACGUCAAAUCAGCACGGCCCUUACGUCCGGGGCUACACACGUGUUACAAUGGCAUGUACAGAAAGCAGGCCGUAUGCAAAUACGGUCGAAUCCCUAAAACAUGUCUCAGUUCGGACUGGGGUCUGCAACCCGACCCCACGAAGCUGGAUUCGCUAGUAAUCGCGCAUCAGCCAUGGCGCGGUGAAUACGUUCCCGGGCCUUGCACACACCGCCCGUC
rnacentral:rRNA from 1 species